CGCUGCGAUGGACUGGCGUCCCGUCCAGCUGGGGAACACAUACGCCAUAGAAACCGGGAAACUGGGCCCAUGAGCCUGGCUAGGCUUUAAAAAGGGCACAAAAAGAAAAAUAAAUAACACCUCUAACCACGUGGUGGUUAAAAGGGUGGCCAAUGAGUUAAAGUGCUGGGCUACAGAUUUAAAUCUGUUGUCACGGACAUUAUGUACUAUGCUUAAUAAUAAGUUUACAUGCUAUGCAGCAAAUGAGAUUGUAUAGAAUGUUCAGUCGAAGUGGCUGUAACUUGACGUUAAAUGUAGGUUUGGGGUAUAGUAAGAGUGCUGUUAGGAAGAUGUAGGAGCAAAUAUAUCAUCUGAAUUCCAAGUGAAGCUUCCAGACUGGAUUAGGUUGGGAUCAAAUGGAUACUUGAAUAAAAAGUCGUGUCAAUUUUUGUAUCUUUUAAGGAAGAGAAGUAAAUGCUUAUAAAAGAUUUUGGCAUUAAAGAGAUACAUUGCAGGAAGAGGAAGUUACAGAAAAUGGUGAACUUCAGCGGCAGAAUCGCAACGUACAAAAAGAAAGGGACUCCGAUCGCUAAGUGGGCUUGUGUGUAGGCUUAGUGGGGGGAAGGUUCCGCGAUAGAUUGGUAGAUAUGUUGUAGGAAGGUUAUGUGGAAGAAAGUCGAGAUAGGAGUGAGUGUUGGUUUGAUGUUGUUGCUUUUGUUUAGCCUGAGAUCAACCCUAAUCUAGCAAACCAAGGCAUUCUGUGACGCUAUAUAAUCCAAGGCAUUCUGUGACGCUACUUGCUUUUCAAGGAUACCUAGAACUACAAACAUUAUACUAUAUGUGUUUCCCUUUCUUUCAGGCGGUAGAGGGUAUAUCUGAAGGAGAGUUCUUUUUUAGCAGGUUGAGCAAUUCCACAAAGCUCUGUCGUUGGCACGUGUAUUGUUUUGUAAUAAAAAGUGAUGUGAAGGUAGAUGUUGUCCUGAAGAACAGAAAUUUCAAGUAAAUUUAUGGUGGUAUUGACAUCAGCCGGUGGUAUUGCCAUAUACAAUCCAGCCUGGGGAGAUUUUGUCUGUAUAUCGGGGUCUUUUAUGUACAUGUCAAAUAUGUAUGAGUGUGUAAUAGCUCCCUUCCCUUUCAUUCGUUUCUCACUCUGAGCAAGCUCACAUCCACAUCCUAUAUAACUUCAACCACCUGUCACUUCCUUCUGUUUCAACUUCCUUCUCAUUUACUUGCCUCCUACACAAGCGACAUGGCCAUUUCUACUUUCUUUCCUCUCACUUUUAGAUGAAUGCGCGAAACGUUUACACUAUGCACUCCUUACAGCAAAUGAACUCAAGCGGUCCUGUCAAAUUCUACAUGAAAUGGGUGUGUACGUGUGUGCAUGCGUGUGUGUGUGUGUGUGGUGUGUGUGUGUGUGUGUGCUUCUGCAUGUAAGCAUACAUGCAUGUAUGUAAACACAAUAUCAACCACUCUUGCAAAGCUGUUUAUAAACAGUAUUCGUUAGGAUAUCAUUGAUUUUUUUUAUUAUUAUUUACUUAUUACAUGCUUUAACCGUUUAAACUGUUUCCAAGCUUUACAGACAAUGAACAUGUUGCUUAUUUUUGCUACGUAAAAAUAACUUUUUGGCAGAAACCUGUCCGCCAACAAAUGUAUAAAAAUUGACGCCGGCGGAUAUUUGAAGCUGUAGAAUUCAAAAUAUGUGAAAUGUGUAUAGAUAUCAUUUUGUAAUAUAUAUAUCAAUCCAUUUCUUUCAC